rnacentral:rRNA from 1 species
UACGGAGAGUGCAAACGUUGUUCGGAUUCACUGGGCGUAAAGGGCACGUAGGCGGCUCGGCAAAUCGGUCGUGGAAUCCCGACGCUUACCGUCGGAACGGCGGCCGAAAAUACCGGGCUCAAGGGCGUGAGGGGUCACUGGAACUCCUGGUGAAGCGGUGAAAUGCGUAGAUAUCAGGAGGAACGCCGGAGGCGAAAGCGAGUGACUGGCGCGUUCCUGACGCUGAGGUGCGAAAGCUAGGGGAGCAAACAGG